rnacentral:snRNA from 1 species
UAAUAUGAGGGCAACCUUACUGUGACAUGUUAUCUUGUUGGUUGCCAGGGUUGAUUUGGCUGAUCAAAUUGGCUAGGCAAGAUCCCUUUCCUAUUCUGUCACUUCAUGUGGGUCCCUCCUGAAACUGCAUGCUUAGAAGAAGAUAAUCUUCCCCAAUAAUGUGACAGUUCUUCAGUCAAGGGUACAUAGUAAUUGCUCCUCUGCUGCAACCUCUAAAUAAGAUCUCAAGUUUCAUUUAGAAAAGAACACAGAGUACACAAUUUCUCAAGAUUCCAUACACAUCUAAAUAAGGCUUGUAACAAUCUGCCUCUCUCU